UACGUAGGGUGCAAGCGUUGUCCGGAAUUAUUGGGCGUAAAGAGCUCGUAGGCGGUCUGUCGCGUCUGCUGUGAAAACUCAGGGCUUAACCCUGAGCUUGCAGUGGGUACGGGCAGACUAGAGUGCGGUAGGGGAGACUGGAAUUCCUGGUGUAGCGGUGAAAUGCGCAGAUAUCAGGAGGAACACCGGUGGCGAAGGCGGGUCUCUGGGCCGUAACUGACGCUGAGGAGCGGAAGCAUGGGGAGCGAACAGG
rnacentral:rRNA from 1 species